rnacentral:sRNA from 1 species
GUCGUGGAGGUGGCGGAUCGAGGAGGAAAUAACGCGGCUUCGGGUUCUGGUGUCUCCCGGUCUGCUAAAGCCCUAAGGCCAUCACCAUGGACUUCCAGCAUCGCCCCGGGGGCAAGACCGGGAGCGGGGGUGUGGCCUCCUCCUCCGAGAGCAACCGUGACCGCAGGGAGCGCCUCCGGCAGCUGGCCCUGGAGACCAUCGACAUCAACAAGGACCCGUACUUCAUGAAGAACCACCUGGGCUCCUAUGAAUGCAAGCUCUGCCUGACGCUUCACAACAAUGAGGGGAGCUACCUGGCACAUACCCAGGGGAAGAAGCACCAGACCAACCUGGCCCGGCGAGCAGCCAAGGAGGCCAAGGAGGCCCCUGCCCAGCCCGCGCCUGAGAAGGUCAAGGUGGAGGUGAAGAAGUUUGUGAAGAUCGGCCGCCCAGGCUACAAAGGUGAGUCUGCCCGGAGCGCGGCCGGCCACAGCCGCUGCCGCCGCAUGAAUGGGUUAUUUAGGCUCCAGUGCAGGAGGCGCAGCCCUGAUACCCUCGUUCCUGAGCCACUGUUUUCUGGCCUUGGUGGCCGUCCCUCACCCACCUGCAGCCUCUGGCGUUGUGUCUGGGAGCUGUCAGGCUGUGCCCGAUAAGCACCCGUCUCACCCAGCGGCCCAUUUCCCAGCUGAGCCACAGUCUGUGCCCUCCUGUCCGGGUGUUGUGGAAGCUUCUGGGAAUUCUUGCC